AACCCUGGACAUUGCAUUAUUAGUAUUUGUUCUUAUUAUUGCUUGCUGACAUGUAAACAUACUUCCUAUUGACUCAGGUUAUUGUACCUGCGUCUGCCUGCAAGGUUGGCUGGUGAGGAGGCAGGAACCAGGAAGGCUCAGUGAGGAUAUCUGGGGACAAAUCGGGAGACACAGUGGUUGGCAAGGUAUCAGGAGGACGUCGAGCUGCUCAGAAGUGGGCUUGUGAGUCAAAUGUUUGCUUUUGCAGAGGCUCAGUUUGCAAGUUAAGGGCAGUUGGCUUCCAUUCUUCUACCCUCCUGUGAUCCUGCAAGCUGACCACAAAUGACUGAGUGGCAGCCCUUAUAACAAUGCUUAGAGAUUGUCCUGUCCACCCAUCCACACUCUUGCAGUGUCCCCUUAAAUUAGGGAGAAGAUUUCUGUCUGAUGCGGAAAUGGACUAAUUUUAUGCUCAGGGCCUCAGCUAUGGUGCUGGGUGCCUGUACAAAGUCUGUCAACUGCAUCCCCCAGAGCCUUGGGAUGCCCCCAUGUUCCUGAGGACACAGCCUUAGGUCAGCCCACAUGGAGGGAAAGGCGUCCACGGUCACUCCCGGCAGGCCCAGGCUGCCAGGCUGCAGCCCAGCCCCUUCCCGGUCCUUUGCAUGUGCACCUGAUGCUCUAGCCACCUGUUCUCCUGAUGUGGGUGGCUCCCUGGAGGCUGCCUGUCUGUCUGAUGACCACCAGGUAGGCACAGCUCUCGGUGUCAUAGGAAGGACCACGUGACACAUCCAGGGUCCUGAAGAGCUGCUCUCAGGCUCCCCUGCGGGGGUCCCAGGAUGUGCCGUCUUACAUUCAGCUCCUCAAAGCACCAUGAGGUGGUCUUUGUAUA